rnacentral:rRNA from 1 species
UACGUAGGGUGCGAGCGUUGCCCGGAUUUAUUGGGCGUAAAGAGCUCGUAGGCGGUGUGUCGCGUCGGCCGUGAAAACCUGCAGCUCAACUGUGGGCUUGCGGUCGAUACGGGCAUCACUGGAGUUCGGCAGGGGAGACUGGAAUUCCUGGUGUAGCGGUGAAAUGACGCAGAUAUCAGGAGGAACACCGGUGGCGAAGGCGGGUCUCUGGGCCGAUACUGACGUGAGGAGCGAAAGCGUGGGGAGCGAACAGG